rnacentral:tRNA from 3 species
GCGAGGGUGGCGGAAUGGUAGACGCGCUAGCUUGAGGUGCUAGUCCACGCAAGUGGGUGGGGGUUCAAGUCCCCUCCUUCGCA